UACGAAGGGGGCUAGCGUUGUUCGGAAUUACUGGGCGUAAAGCGCAAGUAGGCGGAUUGUUAAGUCAGGGGUGAAAUCCCGGGGCUCAACCUCGGAACUGCCUUUGAUACUGGCAAUCUCGAGUCCGGAAGAGGUGGGUGGAAUUCCUAGUGUAGAGGUUAAAUUCGUAGAUAUUAGGAAGAACACCAGUGGCGAAGGCGGCCCACUGGUCCGGUACUGACGCUGAGGUGAGAAAGCGUGGGGAGCAAACAGG
rnacentral:rRNA from 1 species